GGGCGAUUGGUUUAGUGGUAUAAUGACCGCUUAGCAUGGUUCAUGACUUGCGGUAGGUCCUGGGUUCGAUUCCCAGAUCGUCCA
rfam:Glomerella graminicola M1.001 genomic scaffold supercont1.57, whole genome shotgun sequence.